GGAGGCAUAGCUCAAGUGGUAGGGUGCGUGCUCGGCAUGCGCGAGGCCUCGGGUUCAAUCCCCCGUGCCUCCU
rnacentral:tRNA from 1 species